rnacentral:rRNA from 1 species
GUUAAUACCCUUAUCAAUUGACGUUACCCGCAGAAGAAGCACCGGCUAACUCCGUGCCAGCAGCCGCGGUAAUACGGAGGGUGCAAGCGUUAAUCGGAAUUACUGGGCGUAAAGCGCACGCAGGCGGUCAAUUAAGUCAGAUGUGAAAGCCCCCGAGCUUAACUUGGGAAUUGCAUCUGAAACUGGUUGGCUAGAGUCUUGUAGAGGGGGG